rnacentral:rRNA from 1 species
GAUGAACGCUGGCGGCGUGCCUAAUACAUGCAAGUCGAGCGAACUGAUUAGAAGCUUGCUUCUAUGACGUUAGCGGCGGACGGGUGAGUAACACGUGGGCAACCUGCCUGUAAGACUGGGAUAACUUCGGGAAACCGAAGCUAAUACCGGAUAGGAUCUUCUCCUUCAUGGGAGAUGAUUGAAAGAUGGUUUCGGCUAUCACUUACAGAUGGGCCCGCGGUGCAUUAGCUAGUUGGUGAGGUAACGGCUCACCAAGGCAACGAUGCAUAUCCGACCUGAGAGGGUGAUCGGCCACACUGGGACUGAGACACGGCCCAGACUCCUACGGGAGGCAGCAGUAGGGAAUCUUCCGCAAUGGACGAAAGUCUGACGGAGCAACGCCGCGUGAGUGAUGAAGGCUUUCGGGUCGUAAAACUCUGUUGUUAGCGAAGAACAAGUACGAGAGUAACUGCUCGUACCUUGACGGUACCUAACCAGAAAGCCACGGCUAACUACGUGCCAGCCGCCGCGGUAAUAC